AGUCUCGGGCCCGCUUAACUGCUGAAAGAGUAGGAAGGGGUCCGUUUCAUUAGCGCGUUCAACCAAAGAGCGCUGUUAGGUGAGCAAAAACAAACCAGUUGUGUCUGAGCCAACACCCGUUUGUCUAUGGGUUGUAGCAGUUGGUCCACCUAAUCAAGGAAGUGCCGAGAGCACAGGACAUGAAAAGACACAGCGCUAAGAGUCUCACUCUGUUGCCCAGGCUGGAGUGCAGCAGCAAGAUCAUAACUCAGGGCAAACUUGACCUCCCAGGCUCAAGCGAUCUUCUGGCCUCAGCCUCCCAGGUUUCCUGCACCACAAGGUUCCUUUCACUUAAAAAAAUUUUUUUUUAUAUUACACCAUCUUUAUUUGUACCUUACCGUCUAAGGCUAUCAAUCAAACUUCAGUAAGAACAGUUUCAGCAUCAACUAACGAACAGUAGCCAAACCAGAGAGCAGUCAAAAGUGUUUUAAAGGGAGCAGCAUCAGCUGAUGUUCUGCCAAGUCUCUGGGUGUUCAGGACCAUGGUCCCCCGGCACUUCCAGGCCCCUGUGGGCUG
ensembl:lncRNA LINC00837 long intergenic non-protein coding RNA 837